UGUUGAGCUGAAACCGAGCCAAGCGUGAAUCCAAAAUGAGACUAGAAUAUAUUUGGCAUUAGCAUGAGAUAUCAAUCAAUCAUUCAGUUGGAAUGGAGGAGAGAUGCAUCGUGGCCUGGCUCGUCACAUCGGCCUUAUUUGCUUUCAUUGGAGCCAAAUUGCUUUCUUGCCUCCGUCUUCCGGUUGCCUUGGAAUGAAGAAGACUCAAGACGAAGUGGAAAGACACACCAAUGCCCUUCUCUCUCUCUCACUCUCUUAGCACUCAUUCAUUAACAUGAUCCAACAACGCCAAACAUUGUUCAAAAUAACAUCCUCGACCAGAUAACCGCGUUCAAUAGUCUGUUCUUGGCAACAAAAGUAACAGCAACCUCGUCAUCAACAUCCCACCAGCAUCAACCUAGAGUUGAAGACCAAAAAGUCUAUCCGGGAUACAUUUACGGUGGCCAAGACAGAUAAGCUCCCGAAGAAGCAAACAGCCAGUAGUGUUUAUGGGCAUGUAGACGACUAAAAAGGGAUUAGUCCAUCUUCAUUUUGACCUUGGCAUGAAAAGAGCGGCACACAAGAAACGAACCAACCCAUAAGCAAGCAACGACCGAAAAUGCGACGAUCAACUCCUUUUCCCAUUACCCAACCAAAGAGAUCUCAUUGUACGUACCUCGGCCUUGAGGUCCUUGGCACUUUCUAAUCCAUGUUUAUUGGUAUGAUAUGGUGUGGAGUCGGUGGAUCCAGGCACCUUCACCUCGAACGUCCAUGCAUUGAGCGUGACAAAUCCAGCAUUUCGACCCUCGGGAUUUGGGGACUCCAAUUUUAGACGAGAUCGUCCUGAAUGCACAAGAGAUCACCAGGGUUAAGGUUUCACAUCGUGGAAAGCAUGAGAUGUAACUUCGGGGUCGGAAAGUUGAUCUAUGGUAAUAUGAGCCUUUCCCAAUUGAGUGGCGGUUGAAGUGAACCGCUCCCGAAAAUCCAAGGCCGUGAUUCGAACCUCGGUCUUGUCCGAAAAGUGUUCACUAGCUCGAAAUUGGAUCGUUCUCAGACCUAUUAAUGCCCCUCCUGGAAGAGUACAAACCUCAGCAAUCUCGGUUUGAGCCACUCGCUUCCACAAGAUCUCUGGCGGAUUUCGAGUGUGGAUGACAAGCCUGGCGGAAGGGGCCCGACCGAGAGCAUCGCAGAG